UGGAUUUUUGAAUAAUCUUGA
rnacentral:piRNA from 1 species